rnacentral:rRNA from 1 species
CCUACGGGAGGCAGCAGUGGGGAAUAUUGGGCAAUGGGCGCAAGCCUGACCCAGCAACGCCGCGUGAAGGAAGACGGCUUUCGGGUUGUAAACUUCUUUUGACAGGGAAGAGCAGAAGACGGUACCUGCCGAAUAAGCCACGGCUAACUACGUGCCAGCAGCCGCGGUAAUACGUAGGUGGCAAGCGUUGUCCGGAUUUCCUGGGUGUAAAGGGCGUGUAGCCGGGCUGAGAAGGCAGAUUUGAAUUCCGAGGGCUCAACCCCAGAACUGCAUUUGAACCUGUUGGUCUUGAGUAUCGGAGGAGCAGGCGGAAUUCCUAGUGGAGCGGUGAAAUGCGUAGAAAGUAGGAGGAACAUCAG